rnacentral:tRNA from 1 species
GGAUAUAACUCAGUUGGUAGAGUGCUUGCCUUGCAUGCACAAGGCCCUGGGUUCGAUUCCCAGCACCA